ACGAACGCUGGCGGCGUGCUUAACACAUGCAAGUCGAACGGUGAAGGGGCCUGCUUUUGUGGGCCCUGGAUGAGUGGCGAACGGGUGAGUAACACGUGAGUAACCUGCCCCCUUCUUCUGGAUAACCGCAUGAAAGUGUGGCUAAUACGGGAUAUUCUGGGUCUGUCGCAUGAUGGGUCUGGGAAAGAUUGCGCCUUUGGGUGUUUUUGGUGGGGGAUGGGCUCGCGGCCUAUCAGCUUGUUGGUGGGGUGAUGGGCUACCAAGGCGGUGACGGGUAGCCGGCCUGAGAGGGUGGACGGUCACACUGGGACUGAGACACGGCCCAGACUCCUACGGGAGGCAGCAGUGGGGAAUAUUGCACAAUGGGCGCAAGCCUGAUGCAGCGACGCCGCGUGAGGGAUGGAGGCCUUCGGGUUGUAAACCUCUUUUGCCAGUGAAGCAGGCCUGCUCCUUGUGGGUGGGUUGACGGUAGCUGGAGAAGAAGCGCCGGCUAACUACGUG
rnacentral:rRNA from 1 species